CCCGGUUUUGCCCCUUUGCACCCCUCUCCUUGCUUUUUGGUGCAAUUGCAGCAGGUUCAGCCGUUUGUGCUCGUGCUGGAUGACUCUGGUGAGCAGCAGCAUCUUGCUGCUAAACCCCCUGCUAAAAGGAUGAAGAAGAAAGCUCUGCCUUGCUGGUCGAAGGGUGUUUUCUGCACUGCUCUCCUGAUUGAGCAUGCACUGCGUGCUGCGUUAGGGCAGGAGAUCGCUACCAGCUCGCAAAGGUGUCUGGUGGUUUGGAGACCCAUGAAGAUGCCGCCAAAAGCGGGGACCAGGUACCCACCUAAAACUCAACGGAGCAUUUGUAGCAUUCCUCUGAGCCUGGGA